UACGUAGGGUGCGAGCGUUAAUCGGAAUUACUGGGCGUAAAGCGUGCGCAGGCGGUCUUGCAAGACAGGUGUGAAAUCCCCGGGCUUAACCUGGGAACUGCACUUGUGACUGCAAGGCUGGAGUACGGCAGAGGGGGAUGGAAUUCCGCGUGUAGCAGUGAAAUGCGUAGAUAUGCGGAGGAACACCGAUGGCGAAGGCAAUCCCCUGGGCCUGUACUGACGCUCAUGCACGAAAGCGUGGGGAGCAAACAGG
rnacentral:rRNA from 2 species